GACCUGCAGGUCAUAGUGAUUCAGUUCGCUCUUCGCCUCCCAGGCACAGGAGACACCAAACAAAUAAUAUCAAUACCAAAAUGAUGCAGUAUAAUUUAUAUGAUCAUGAUUGAGUGCCGGUGAUAGUGAGAAAACUAUUCACAUUGCAGGUACACUCACGCCUCAGUCACAAUCCACGAAACCACUCCAAACGGACCAACGGUAUGCCAUUGGUAAUAAUGUUAUAGCUUUGAUUGGUAAGCAGAAGGCUUCAUUGGUGUGACAGUGGCAUUACCCACAGAAUGAUUGUGCUUGGCAAGGCUAUAAAAACAAAAGAAUCAAAUUAGAAUAAAUAAAAUCACAAUUAUAAAUAAAAACAACAUUUAAAUGCUUCAAAACAACUUCGAAAUAUCUAAAAUAUCCAUUACUCUUGGGCUUUACUCUAUCAUUCCAGAAUAAAAAAAGGAGGAAAAAUAAGACAGACAAAAUUAUGAAAAUGUGAAAUAAAUUGUGUCAAUUAUAGGGAAACUAUGAAUUUUUGAAAUGUACAUUCACUACAUCCAAGUGAAUUUCAUAUUUUGGUCCAUGUUAUUUGAUGUACAUCUAUUAAAGCAACAAACUUCGCUGUCCAAUCUUCUAAAGUGGUAUAUUUAUGUUCCACCCUAUUAUAGACUAAUAAUAUCAUAUCAAAUGCAAGUCCAAACUGCUCAAUUUUAAUUGGUUGAAAACAAAAUGUAGUUGUUAUUGGGAAUUGUAGUCGAUUGCGACUCAUUCUGAUACAAGCCCAAGAAAAACAUGACCAUGUUGUAUAGCCCUUUGAAUGAAAAAAGCAGUACUGCAUUUAUAUCUCACAACAUGGAAAAUGUAAAAAGUAGUAUUUUGUAAUUAACGAGAGAUAUUUCAAAAAGUAAUGUGCAUAUUUGAUUUUCUCAGUCACAGUGAAAAACUAGUCAUUCAACGCCCCCUCCAUUCUAUACAAACAAAUUAUCGUUGAAUUUCAUGACAUGGGUAUUAAUAGUCCAAAAGCAGCCAGAUACCAUAUCUUGGCGCAUUAUAAAUAUCUGGAUAAUCAUUGGGUGUUUUCAAGUUCAGUGUUGACCUUCUGGUGUUGGUGUUAGGUCAAUUUUUACACGAUUGUAACACCAAACAUAAAAUGAAGAUGGUCCCGAAAAGUCACUCACUAGCUAAUGAGAUGUCAAUAAUGUGAUCUGGAUCAGUUUUACAAACUCUAGAGCUAGGGGGAAGCAAUCAAAAUUUCAACACCAGCACCAAGGCCAACACCAGACUUGAAAUCACCCAUUUUCUUCAUUAUCAUUAUCUGCAAUCUCAUGAAAGUGUUCUCCACCCAAUGUUUCAUACAUUUAUGCAUCAGUAUUUAUACAUUAUUUGCAAUGAAUUGAAAAUACAGUCAAAAUUGAAAUUGAAAUAGAAAUUAGGAUUUAAUUUGCUGGACCCCAGUUUUACAAAAUGCGUUCUCUAAAAGAAAUGCUAGAAGUACAUGACAAAUGUGUUAUUACCUGAUCAAAUUAAAGGAUUACAGUAUCUUAUAAAUUUUAGGAGCAUUAGAACUCUAAGCGAACAAGAAAACAAGAGACAAAACAUUUCAGGAAAGUCCAUACAUGUAUAUAAAGGUCCGAAUUCACAAAGGGUCCGAUGUACACACUAAGUCAUUACACAGCGGCAACCGAGAUCCAAAAAUUGGAAACUUCAUUUGCAAUACGAUUGAUGGCCUUUUACCAAUACAACAGUGUUGAAACUACACAAAUACAAGAGACUACGCUGAACAGAAAUCUUAAUAGUGAAUAAAAUACAGAUUCAUGAACACUGAUGAUGAUUGAUAUUAAACGUACGGAAAUCACAGACAAAUACACUUAUCUUAUG